CAGCCGCCGCGGUAAUACGUAGGGUGCAAGCGUUGUCCGGAAUUAUUGGGCGUAAAGAGCUCGUAGGCGGCUUGUCACGUCGGCUGUGAAAACCUGGGGCUCAACCCCGGGCCUGCAGACGAUACGGGCUAGCUAGAAUUCGGUAGGGGAGACUGGAAUUCCUGGUGUAGCGGUGAAAUGCGCAGAUAUCAGGAGGAACACCGAUGGCGAAGGCAGAUCUCUGGGCCAUUACUGACGCUGAGGAGCGAAAGCGUGGGGAGCGAACAGGAUUAGAUACCCGGGUAGUCCCUGUCUCUUAUAC
rnacentral:rRNA from 1 species